AGGAAGAGGGGAAGCCUUGGAGAGGAGCCCGUGACGGCUGAAAACAGACGGAACGCCCUGGAAUUGCACAGCAUUUGAAGACACUAAGAAAGCAACGAGAACCUCAGGGUCACAUGGCUGAUGGGUGACGACGCUGUGACUGGAAGCACGUUGCCAGACGUCAGGUCAGCGUGGCGAGCCUUUGUGUCACCAACACCCAGAUCAAAAAGCAGAGCGUUACCAGCACCCCAGAUGCUUCCGCGGGC